CGAUAUUGUUGACGAAUGACACAGUAGGAGUAUUUCCCCCCCCCCCCAAAGGCUGUGGCUUAUCAAUUUAUAUCUCCGCCCCAUGUAGAACCCAUAUAAGUGGUUGUCAAGAAUUUUCACCUGUGAAGAAACGCAUUUUUUCCAGAAAGAUCAUAGAUUACAGCUUUUUGCUUCAAUUCACACAUUUUAAGGGAGUGCUUUGAAAGCAAUGUCCAAAAAAAUGGUUUUAGUUUUGAUAUUGGCCUGGGUGUUUAUGACUGCCUAUGGCCAAGAAAACCUGUUCAGCGAUGACGAACCAUUUGGCGACAACGAACUGUCCGGUAGUGGCGAUGAAGGGACUAUAGCCCCCACCUCAUCCAUACUUUCAAGUGCAGCAAGCCACAAGACGAGCCUCAUCACCGCAUCUGGCAUGGUGCUGUUGUCAUGGUUACUGCUGGGCCAGCAGUAGCAUCUUGGGCCAGUUUGCCAAAAAAUCUCAGGGGGUCUAAAAUUGGUCGCUGUGAAUCGCCGAUCAUUAAGUUACAUGUAAAUGGAAGUGUAUGUAAAUUAAAGCUUUUGCAGACUGUAUAAG